UCAAGAAACUUCCACAAUGGGCGAAAGCCUGAUGGAGCGACGUCGCGUGAUGGACGAAGUGCUUCGGCACGUAAACAUCUUUUAUGUGGGAUGAAAUUAUUGACAGUACCACAUGAAUAAGGGACUCCUAACUCUGUGCCAGCAGGAGCGGUAAUACAGAGGCCCCAAGCGUUAUCCGGAAUCACUGGGCGUAAAGGGUGUCGAGGCGGUUGUAUUAGUCGUUCGUAAAAUCUACGAGCUUAACUUGUAGGCGGCGAACGAAACGGUACGACUUGAGGUUUGGAGAGGUGCGUGGAACUCACGGUGUAGGGGUGAAAUCCGUUGAUAUCGUGGGGAACACCAAAGGCGAAGGCAGCGCACUGGCCAAAAUCUGACGCUCACACACGAAAGCUAGGGUAGCGAAGAGGAUUAGAUACCCGGGUAGUCCCUGAGCGGGCUGGCAAGGCGCAU
rnacentral:rRNA from 1 species